GUGCCAGCAGCCGCGGUAAUACGAAGGGGGCUAGCGUUGCUCGGAAUCACUGGGCGUAAAGGGUGCGUAGGCGGGUUUCUAAGUCAGAGGUGAAAGCCUGGAGCUCAACUCCAGAACUGCCUUUGAUACUGGAAGUCUUGAGUAUGGCAGAGGUGAGUGGAACUGCGAGUGUAGAGGUGAAAUUCGUAGAUAUUCGCAAGAACACCAGUGGCGAAGGCGGCUCACUGGGCCAUUACUGACGCUGAGGCACGAAAGCGUGGGGAGCAAACAGGAUUAGAUACCCCGGUAGUCCA
rnacentral:rRNA from 1 species